rnacentral:rRNA from 1 species
UCCGAAGGGUGCAAGCGUUACUCGGAAUUACUGGGCGUAAAGCGUGCGUAGGUGGUUUGUUAAGUCUGAUGUGAAAGCCCUGGGCUCAACCUGGGAAUUGCAUUGGAUACUGGCAGGCUAGAGUGCGGUAGAGGGUAGUGGAAUUCCCGGUGUAGCAGUGAAAUGCGUAGAGAUCGGGAGGAACACCAGUGGCGAAGGCGACUACCUGGACCAGCACUGACACUGAGGCACGAAAGCGUGGGGAGCAAACAGG